UCGAGAAUCUUCCGCAAUGGACGAAAGUCUGACGGAGCGACGCCGCGUGAUGGAUGAAGUCCCUCUGGGACGUAAAUAUCUUUUAUGAGGGAGAAAGUUUAUUGAUAGUACCUCACGAAUAAGGGGUUGCUAAACUCGUGCCAGCAGCAGCGGUAAUACGAGUGCCCCGAGCGUUAUCCGGAAUCAUUGGGCGUAAAGGGUGUGUAGGUGGCAUUGUUAGUCACACGUUAAACCCUGGGGCUUAACCCCAGAUCUGCGUGUGAUACGGCAAAGCUAGAGGAUGGCAGGGAUGUAUGGAACUCAUGGAGUAGGGGUGAAAUCCGUUGAUAUCAUGGGGAACACCGAAAGCGAAGGCAGUACAUUGGGCCACUCCUGACACUGAAACACGAAAGCGUGGGUAGCGAAUGGGAUUAGAUACCCCCGUAGUCCCUGAGCGGGCUGGCAAGGCGCAU
rnacentral:rRNA from 1 species